GAUGAAGAACGUAGCAAAAUGCGAUAAGUAAUGUGAAUUGCAGAAUUCAGUGAAUCAUCGAAUCUUUGAACGCACAUUGCGCCCGCUGGUAUUCCGGCGGGCAUGCCUGUUCGAGCGUCAUUUCAACCCUCAAGCCCCCGGGUUUGGUGUUGGGGAUCGGCUCUGCCCUUCUGGGCGGUGCCGCCCCCGAAAUACAUUGGCGGUCUCGCUGCAGCCUCCAUUGCGUAGUAGCAACACCUCGCAACUGGAACGCGGCGCGGCCAUGCCGUAAAACCCCAACUUCUGAAUGUUGACCUCGGAUCAGGUAGGAAUACCCGCUGAACUUAAGCAUAUCAAUAAGCGGAGGA
rnacentral:misc_RNA from 1 species